AAACAUGUCUUUUUGUAUUUUAUUUAAAGUCUAACCUGCCCACUGAAUAUUUUUAAAUGGCCGCAGUAAUUUGACUGUGCAAAGGUAGCAUAAUAAUUAGUCUUUUAAUUGAAGGCUUGAAUGAAUGGUUGGACGAAGUAUAAACUGUUUCAUAUAAAUUUAUUUUAGAAUUUUAUUUUUUAGUUAAAAAGCUAAAAUUUUAUUAAAAGACGAGAAGACCCUAUAAAUCNUUAUAUUUUAUGUUAUUUAAAUAUUUUAAAUUUAUUUAAUUUUUAUAGUAUAAAAUAUUUUAUUGGGGUGAUAAUAAAAUUUAAUUAACUUUUAGUUUUAAAAAUCAUUAAUUUAUGAAUUGUUGAUCCAUUAAUAUUGAUUAUAAGAUUAAGUUACUUUAGGGAUAACAGCGUAAUUUUUUUUGAGAGUUCAUAUCGAUAAAAAAGUUUGCGACCUCGAUGUUGGAUUAAGAUAUAUUUUUGGGUGUAGCUGUUCAAAUAAUAAGUCUGUUCGACUUUUAAAUUCUUACAUGAUC
rnacentral:rRNA from 1 species